GACGAACGCUGGCGGCGUGCCUAAUACAUGCAAGUAGAACGCUGAAGGAGGAGCUUGCUCUUCUGGAUGAGUUGCGAACGGGUGAGUAACGCGUAGGUAACCUGCCUGGUAGCGGGGGAUAACUAUUGGAAACGAUAGCUAAUACCGCAUAACAGUAGAUGUUGCAUGACAUUUGCUUAAAAGGUGCAAUUGCACCACUACCAGAUGGACCUGCGUUGUAUUAGCUAGUUGGUGGGGUAACGGCUCACCAAGGCGACGAUACAUAGCCGACCUGAGAGGGUGAUCGGCCACACUGGGACUGAGACACGGCCCAGACUCCUACGGGAGGCAGCAGUAGGGAAUCUUCGGCAAUGGACGGAAGUCUGACCGAGCAACGCCGCGUGAGUGAAGAAGGUUUUCGGAUCGUAAAGCUCUGUUGUAAGAGAAGAACGAGUGUGAGAGUGGAAAGUUCACACUGCGACGGUAUCUUACCAGAAAGGGACGGCUAACUACGUG
rnacentral:rRNA from 1 species